rnacentral:rRNA from 1 species
GGUUAAGCGACUAAGCGUACACGGUGGAUGCCCUGGCAGUCAGAGGCGAUGAAGGGCGUGCUAAUCUGCGAUAAGCGCCGGUAAGGUGAUAUGAACCGUUAUAACCGGCGAUACCCGAAUGGGGAAACCCAGUGUGACUCGUCACACUAUCAUUAACUGAAUCCAUAGGUUAAUGAGGCGAACCGGGGGAACUGAAACAUCUAAGUACCCCGAGGAAAAGAAAUCAACCGAGAUUCCCCCAGUAGCGGCGAGCGAACGGGGAGGAGCCCAGAGCCUGAAUCAGCAUGUGUGUUAGUGGAAGCGUCUGGAAAGGCGCGCGAUACAGGGUGACAGCCCCGUACACAAAAGCGCAUGUGCUGUGAGCUCGAUGAGUAGGGCGGGACACGUGGUAUCCUGUCUGAAUAUGGGGGGACCAUCCUCCAAGGCUAAAUACUCCUGACUGACCGAUAGUGAACCAGUACCGUGAGGGAAAGGCGAAAAGAACCCCGGCGAGGGGAGUGAAAAAGAACCUGAAACCGUGUACGUACAAGCAGUGGGAGCACAGGUUUACCUGUGUGACUGCGUACCUUUUGUAUAAUGGGUCAGCGACUUAUAUUCUGUAGCAAGGUUAACCGAAUAGGGGAGCCGGAGGGAAACCGAGUCUUAAUUGGGCGUUAAGUUGCAGGGUAUAGACCCGAAACCCGGUGAUCUAGCCAUGGGCAGGUUGAAGGUUGGGUAACACUAACUGGAGGACCGAACCGACUAAUGUUGAAAAAUUAGCGGAUGACCUGUGGCUGGGGGUGAAAGGCCAAUCAAACCGGGAGAUAGCUGGUUCUCCCCGAAAGCUAUUUAGGUAGCGCCUCGUGAAUUCAUCUCCGGGGGUAGAGCACUGUUUCGGCUAGGGGGCCAUCCCGGCUUACCAACCCGAUGCAAACUGCGAAUACCGGAGAAUGUUAUCACGGGAGACACACGGCGGGUGCUAACGUCCGUCGUGAAGAGGGAAACAACCCAGACCGCCAGCUAAGGUCCCAAAGUCAUGGUUAAGUGGGAAACGAUGUGGGAAGGCCCAGACAGCCAGGAUGUUGGCUUAGAAGCAGCCAUCAUUUAAAGAAAGCGUAAUAGCUCACUGGUCGAGUCGGCCUGCGCGGAAGAUGUAACGGGGCUAAACCAUGCACCGAAGCUGCGGCAGCGAACGUAUCACUUAAAGCGAUUCAGCGGGUUACGAUUGACGGAGCGAAGCGACGUCAAAGCGUAUACAAAGUCGAGUCGGUUUAAGGAUACGUUCGUUGGGUAGGGGAGCGUUCUGUAAGCCUGCGAAGGUGGCCUGUGAGGGUUGCUGGAGGUAUCAGAAGUGCGAAUGCUGACAUAAGUAACGAUAAAGCGGGUGAAAAGCCCGCUCGCCGGAAGACCAAGGGUUCCUGUCCAACGUUAAUCGGGGCAGGGUGAGUCGACCCCUAAGGCGAGGCCGAAAGGCGUAGUCGAUGGGAAACGGGUUAAUAUUCCCGUACUUGGUGUUACUGCGAAGGGGGGACGGAGAAGGCUAUGUUGGCCGGGCGACGGUUGUCCCGGUUUAAGCGUGUAGGUGUGUGUUCCAGGUAAAUCCGGUUCACUUUAACACUGAGGCGUGAUGACGAGGCACUACGGUGCUGAAGCAACAAAUGCCCUGCUUCCAGGAAAAGCCUCUAAGCAUCAGGUAACAUCAAAUCGUACCCCAAACCGACACAGGUGGUCAGGUAGAGAAUACCAAGGCGCUUGAGAGAACUCGGGUGAAGGAACUAGGCAAAAUGGUGCCGUAACUUCGGGAGAAGGCACGCUGACACGUAGGUGAAGUGAUUUACUCAUGGAGCUGAAGUCAGUCGAAGAUACCAGCUGGCUGCAACUGUUUAUUAAAAACACAGCACUGUGCAAACACGAAAGUGGACGUAUACGGUGUGACGCCUGCCCGGUGCCGGAAGGUUAAUUGAUGGGGUCAGCGCAAGCGAAGCUCCUGAUCGAAGCCCCGGUAAACGGCGGCCGUAACUAUAACGGUCCUAAGGUAGCGAAAUUCCUUGUCGGGUAAGUUCCGACCUGCACGAAUGGCGUAAUGAUGGCCAGGCUGUCUCCACCCGAGACUCAGUGAAAUUGAACUCGCUGUGAAGAUGCAGUGUACCCGCGGCAAGACGGAAAGACCCCGUGAACCUUUACUAUAGCUUGACACUGAACAUUGAGCCUUGAUGUGUAGGAUAGGUGGGAGGCUUUGAAGUGUGGACGCCAGUCUGCAUGGAGCCGACCUUGAAAUACCACCCUUUAAUGUUUGAUGUUCUAACGUGGACCCGUAAUCCGGGUUGCGGACAGUGUCUGGUGGGUAGUUUGACUGGGGCGGUCUCCUCCUAAAGAGUAACGGAGGAGCACGAAGGUUGGCUAAUCCUGGUCGGACAUCAGGAGGUUAGUGCAAUGGCAUAAGCCAGCUUGACUGCGAGCGUGACGGCGCGAGCAGGUGCGAAAGCAGGUCAUAGUGAUCCGGUGGUUCUGAAUGGAAGGGCCAUCGCUCAACGGAUAAAAGGUACUCCGGGGAUAACAGGCUGAUACCGCCCAAGAGUUCAUAUCGACGGCGGUGUUUGGCACCUCGAUGUCGGCUCAUCACAUCCUGGGGCUGAAGUAGGUCCCAAGGGUAUGGCUGUUCGCCAUUUAAAGUGGUACGCGAGCUGGGUUUAGAACGUCGUGAGACAGUUCGGUCCCUAUCUGCCGUGGGCGCUGGAGAACUGAGGGGGGCUGCUCCUAGUACGAGAGGACCGGAGUGGACGCAUCACUGGUGUUCGGGUUGUCAUGCCAAUGGCACUGCCCGGUAGCUAAAUGCGGAAGAGAUAAGUGCUGAAAGCAUCUAAGCACGAAACUUGCCCCGA